rnacentral:rRNA from 1 species
UACGGAGGGUCCAAGCGUUGUCCGGAAUCACUGGGUGUAAAGGGUGCGUAGGCGGGCCCGUAAGUCAGAGGUGAAAGCCCACGGCUCAACCGUGGAAUUGCCUUUGAUACUGCGGGUCUUGAGUCCUGGAGAGGCUGCCGGAAUUCGUGGUGUAGCGGUGAAAUGCGUAGAUAUCACGAGGAACACCGGAUGCGUAGGCGGGCAGCUGGACAGGUACUGACGCUGAGGCACGAAAGCGUGGGGAGCGAACAGG